rnacentral:rRNA from 1 species
UCGAUCUCAAAUCAGGCGGGACUACCCGCUGAACUUAAG